rnacentral:rRNA from 1 species
AACGAACGAUGGCGGCAGGCUUAACACAUGCAAGUCGAGCGCCCCGCAAGGGGAGCGGCAGACGGGUGAGUAACGCGUGGGAACGUACCCUUUGCUACGGAAUAGCUCCGGAAAACUGGAAUUAAUACCGUAUGUGCCCUACGGGGGAAAGAUUUAUCGGCAAAGGAUCGGCCAGCGUUGGAUUAGCUAGUUGGUGUGGUAAUGGCCUACCAAGGCGACGAUCCAUAGCUGGUCUGAGAGGAUGAUCAGCCACAUUGGGACUGAGACACGGCCCAAACUCCUACGGGAGGCAGCAGUGGGGAAUAUUGGACAAUGGGCGCAAGCCUGAUCCAGCCAUGCCGCGUGAGUGAUGAAGGCCUUAGGGUUGUAAAGCUCUUUCACCGGAGAAGAUAAUGACGGUAUCCGGAGAAGAAGCCCCGGCUAACUUCGUGCCAGCCGCCGCAGUAAGAC